UGUUGAUGCCCCCUACCAAGGGGUAACUUCCCGGUUCAUAAGCCCUUCCCUUCCAUUAUUAAAUCCAUCCAUGACAUUGCGUAUAUAACAAAACCCACUUGACAUUCCCGCUUGCCUGUAGAAUCAGAAAAGCAAGCUCAAAUCCCUAAUCUUUCGGUUGCCUGCCGACCUAUUGCAUUAAAGACCGGCAAUCGAAUCUUUGCUUGGCUUGACGAUCCCUUUCGAAUCCGGUGAAAGCCCGACCCCUUCCCAAUGUUUUAAAAGUGGAAGGCAGAAUCUUGGAUAGUUGGUUCAUGCGUUAGGUCAACCAUUCCUCUAGCAUUACGAAGUGAGAAGCCAAGUGAACGAGCCCUGUUUUUCGAGAAUGCAAGUUCCAUUCGCAAAGCCCAAGCCAAAAGCGAGUAGACCGAACUGCUUGCUUAUGUGAGGUUCUUUCCUCUCGCUUGUUCAUCUUGUUUUGAGUACUCGAC
rnacentral:lncRNA from 1 species